rnacentral:rRNA from 1 species
UAGGUAACCUGCCUUGUAGCGGGGGAUAACUAUUGGAAACGAUAGCUAAUACCGCAUAACAAUGGAUGACACAUGUCAUUUAUUUGAAAGGGGCAAUUGCUCCACUACAAGAUGGACCUGCGUUGUAUUAGCUAGUAGGUGAGGUAAUGGCUCACCUAGGCGACGAUACAUAGCCGACCUGAGAGGGUGAUCGGCCACACUGGGACUGAGACACGGCCCAGACUCCUACGGGAGGCAGCAUG